rnacentral:rRNA from 1 species
CACGUAGGGUGCGAGCGUUGUCCGGAAUUAUUGGGCGUAAAGAGCUCGUAGGCGGUGUGUCGCGUCGGCCGUGAAAACCUGCAGCUUAACUGUGGGCUUGCGGUCGAUACGGGCAUCACUGGAGUUCGGCAGGGGAGACUGGAAUUCCUGGUGUAGCGGUGAAAUGCGCAGAUAUCAGGAGGAACACCGGUGGCGAAGGCGGGGUCUCUGGGCCGAUACUGACGCUGGAGGCGACGAAAGCGUGGGGAGCAAACAGG